UGGGGAAUAUUGGACAAUGGGGGAAACCCUGAUCCAGCAAUGCCGCGUGAGUGAUGAAGGCCUUAGGGUUGUAAAGCUCUUUCGGUGGUGACGAUGAUGACGGUAACCACAGAAGAAGCUCCGGCUAACUCCGUGCCAGCAGCCGCGGUAAUACGGAGGGAGCUAGCGUUGUUCGGAAUUACUGGGCGUAAAGCGCACGUAGGCGGCUUUGUAAGUUAGAGGUGAAAGCCCGGAGCUCAACUCCGGAAUUGCCUUUAAGACUGCAUCGCUUGAAUCCAGGAGAGGUGAGUGGAAUUCCGAGUGUAGAGGUGAAAUUCGUAGAUAUUCGGAAGAACACCAGUGGCGAAGGCGGCUCACUGGACUGGUAUUGACGCUGAGGUGCGAAAGCGUGGGGAGCAAA
rnacentral:rRNA from 1 species